ensembl:misc_RNA Metazoa_SRP Metazoan signal recognition particle RNA
GCCGGGCGUGGUGGCUCACGCCUGUAAUCCCAGCUACUCGGGAGGCUGAGGCAGGAGAAUCGCUUGAACCCAGGAGGCAGAGAUUGCAGUGAGCCAAGACUGUGCUGCUGCACUGCAGCCUGGGUGACAGGGUGAGACUCUGGCUCAA